rnacentral:lncRNA from 1 species
AAUAACCAUAUCAUAAGACCAUAUAUACAAAAUGAUUAUAAUGCUAUACAUGCCAUACUCAAAAUAUACAAGCCAUUAUGCCAAGAUGGUAUACAGAUAGUGUGAGCGAACCUCCGACCGUCCCCGAUUUCCGAGCUGGCUUGUCAAAACUACAAGGAAUGAAAAGGAUGGAGUAAGCAUAAAUGCUUAGUAAGUUCACAUGCAAAUAGCAAGUAACAUAACCAUAUAAGCAAACAUAAAACAUCAUUUGCAUAAUCAUCACCAAGACAUUCAUAUCAUAUUUUCAUUUAUCAUCUUACCAAAUUGUUGUUAUAUCGAUUUUUCAACCCGAGGGUUAAGUACAUACCUGUUCAAAGUACCAUUUCACAACACUUACCAAUAUGUCCCUUUCAUCUCGAGUAUUCCUCCAUUUGAGUAGAAUUUUACCCGUUGAACACAUCGGAAUAUAAUUCGGAUACAUGGAAAGUUUGCACAUAAGUGUCACAUAUGUAGCCAAGCUACCAUGCAACCCGCCCAUAAGUGAACUCGGACUCAACUCAACGAGCUCGGGCGUUUGCAUCCAUAAGUGAACUCGGACUCAACUCAACGAGUUCGGAUGCCUAGUUACAUUUCUCGAACUCGGACUCAACUAAACGAGUUCGGACAUUUGCAUCCAUAAGUGAACUCAGACUCAACUCAACGAGUUCGGAUGCUCAACCAUCCUAGUGACAUGUCACUUGUAUCCUAAUCUAUUCCUAAGGUUCAAACGGGCGUUUUCCUCGAUCACACAUCUUUGCCAUCUUCCACGGAAUAUCAAAAUUGAUACUUCGGUGAUAGUUCAUACUCAUCAAGUAAUUCACAUAAUUACAUAUUAUUCAACAAUAACCACAAAGCAUAAUAUUUCAUGAUAAUAAUCAGCAUCAUAUCAUAUAAACAACAUUAAAUUGCUUAAAAUGACAAUUAUGUUACUACAUUUACACAUGAACUUAUCUCGUAUGCGAAAAUGGAUACUUUUACCAUUUCGUCCACAACUUGGUAUUUUCCCUAUUUUAGCCCGAAUUUUAGUUUUCCUUACUCUAUCAUUUAAAAUAUAGUCUAAUUAGGACUCACAUUAUUCAAAUUGACCCAAAAUCAUAUUUUAGAAAAAUUACAGUUUUGCCCCUAAACUUUUGCAUAUUUACACUUUUGCCCCAAAGCUCGUAAAUUAAACUUCAGCCUAUUUUCUUAUGUUUUAUGACAUACUGAUCAUUUUUCCCUUCUAUGGAAACAUCAAAUUCUCACUCUAACAUGUACUUAUGACUAUUAGGUAUUUUUACCGAUUAAACCCUUUUGCUAGUUUUCGCUUAAAACCGAGUAGCACAAGUUGUCUAACAUAAUUUAAAACCUCAUAUUCUAUCAUAAAACACCAAAAUACACAAAUUUAACCUAUGGGUAUUUUUUUCAAAUAUGAACCCUAGGUUAAAUUAUUGCUAGCAUAAGCUUAAUCGAGCUACCAGGACUCCAAAAAUGUAAAAAUCAUUAAAAACGAGGCUAGAACGGACUUACAAUCGAGCUUGGAAGCUUGAAAAACCCUAGCCAUGGUUUCUCCUUGCUAUAUUCGGC